GCGUAAGCAUUUGAUCUAAAUUUAUUUUGGUACGCAAACACUUCAACGCAAAAAUACAUACUUUCUUUUGUACAGCUGAUUGAAGAAUUUUGCCGGCGGAUUUAAAAAUAAUUCAUAAAUUUGAUUGAAGAGAAAUUAAUUUUUUACACGUGAAAAAUUAACCAAUUAAGAUUUUUGGCCGCGCAAGAAGCGGAAUUGAACUGAAGAAAAUUGCU
ensembl:ncRNA ZK675.7 ncRNA